ACCUAAGGGACACGGUUGCGUGAGAAAAUUCCACCUUCUGUCAGUUUGAAGCAAUCUCGACCAAGUGUAAUAUUGUAGAAAAUGCUGCUAGCUACAAGGAAUGUUUUUUCUGUCUAUCUUUUCUUUCAUUCUUUAACAGGUGGUUAAUCCUGAGGAACUCUACUGCGUGAGAAAACACCGCCCCCUGUCAGUUUGAAGCAAUCUCGACCAAUCGCAAUAUCGUAAAAUACUGCUGACUACAAGGAAUGUAACUUCGACAAUUUCAUUUUCUAACCAGCAACUCGAUCGGACCAGCAUGGAUACGAACUGUCGCCUAAUUAACGGCCGUGCUGUGUGCCCGCCAGUGCAUUUUAUCACUCCAAGAAUGCGGGACCAGGAGUCCGAUGAAUCUUUAGAGAUCAGUAUUGUAUCGAUUGCGCUGGCCCUCCUGUUCGGGUGAGAAUGAAGAAGUUCCAUAGUCGUUGCGCCCGAGUUAAGAGGAAGACGUUGGAAACAGUUCCAAAAGAACGUUUUGAAAUGGAAACCCGUCCAGUGACCGUCCCAAAGCCCCAGGCAGGCACCAAAAGGCCAACGCCACCACCGCCACCCCAAGCUAGGUCUCUGCAACAACCACCACCGCGGGCGCCUCCAGCUAGGUCUCUACCACAGCAACCACCGCGGGCGCCUCCAGCGCGGAGAUAUAAUCUCCGCCCCGCAAAGAGGUAAUCUCUGUUUUUUUUAAUAGCAAUGUAUUUUUUACAUGAUAACAUGAACAAGGUCUUAACAUUUCUUUUUCAAAUAUGACGAAUUAUAUUUUUAAUUUUAAUUUUUUCAUAAUCAAUUAUAACAAGAUGGUAUAAAAUGUCAG